UACGUAGGGUGCGAGCGUUGUCCGGAAUUAUUGGGCGUAAAGAGCUUGUAGGCGGUUUGUCGCGUCUGCCGUGAAAAUUCGAGGCUCAACCUCGAACUUGCGGUGGGUACGGGCAGACUAGAGUGUGGUAGGGGAGACUGGAAUUCCUGGUGUAGCGGUGAAAUGCGCAGAUAUCUGGAAGAACACCAGUGGCGAAGGCGGCUCUCUGGGACGGUACUGACGCUGAGACGCGAAAGCGUGGGGAGCGAACAGG
rnacentral:rRNA from 1 species